GGGACAGUGGGGACACCGGGGGCGUGGGGACAGCGGGACAGCAGGGGGUGUGGGGACAGCGGGGGUGUGGGGACAGCGGGACAGCAGGGGGUGUGGGGGACACCGGGACACCGGGAAUGUGGGGGACAUGGGGGGUGUGGGGACAGCGGGGCUGAGGGGACAGCGGGGACAGCAGGGGGUGUAGGGGACACCGGGUGUGUGAGGGACACUGGGAGCAUGGGGACAUGGGGACAGUGGGGACACUGGGUGUGUGGGGGACACGGGGACAUUGGGGACAUUGGGGAUAUUGAGGAUAUUGAGGAUAACGGGGACAUGGGGACAGUGGGGACACCGAGGGUGUGGGGGACACUGGGGACAGCAGGGCCAUUGGGGGUGUGGGGGACACUGGGGACGUGGGGGACAGCAGGGCCAUGGGGAUAUGGGGACAUGGGGGGGAUAUGGGGACAUGGGGGGGAUAUGGGGACAUGGGGGGCCGUGGGGACACUGUGAUCAUGAGGCCAGGGCAGGACCCCACCUGGGGGCACAACCCUACGCCCGCUCCCCAGGAUGUCCCCACGAUGUCCCCAGCCUGUCCCCAGCAGUGUCCCCAGCCUGUCCCCAGGGUGUCCCCAGCGUGUCCCCAGCGUGUCCCCAGCCUGUCCCCAGGGUGUCCCCAGCCUGUCCCCAGUCUGUCCCAGGGUGUCCCCAGCCUGUNNNNNNNNNNGUGUCCCCAGCCUGUCCCCAGUCUGUCCCAGGGUGUCCCCAGCCUGUCCCCAGCCUGUCCCCAGUCUGUCCCCAGCCUGUCCCAGGGUGUCCCCAGCCUGUCCCCAGCGUGUCCCCAGCGUGUCCCAGCCUGUCCCCAGCCUGUCCCAGCCUGUCCCCAGCCUGUCCCCGGGGUGUCCCCAGCGUGUCCCCAGCAUGUCCCCAGCCUGUCCCCAGCGUGUCCCCGAGGUGUCCCCAGCCUGUCCCCAGGGUGUCCCCAGUGUGUCCCCAGCAGCGUCCCCAGGAUGUCCCCAGGAUGUCCCCAGGGUGUUCCCAGCAAUGUCCCCAGCCUGUCCCCGAGGUGUCCCCAGCGUGUCCCCAGCCUGUCCCCAGGAUGCCCCCCCCCUGUCCCCAGCCUGCCCCCCCCCGGCCCCAGCGUGUCCCCCGCCUGUCCCCAGCCUGUCCCAGGGUGUCCCCGAGGUGUCCCCAGCCUGUCCCCAGCCUGUCCCAGCCUGUCCCAGCCUGUCCCAGGGUAUCCCCGGGGUGUCCCCGAGGUGUCCCCAGCCUGUCCCGCUGUCCCCAGCCUGUCCCGCUGUCCCGCAGUGCCCGGUGCUGAAGGGGCGCGUGCAGAAGAUCCUGUACUGGCGCUGGGGCGAGCCCCCCGCCCCCGUGGCGCCCCCCGGCGCCCCCCAGGCCCAGGAGGGGCCCCCCCAGGCCCUGCAGGGCCGCUCCGAGCGCGAGUUCUUCGUCAAGUGGGUGGGGCUCUCCUACUGGCACUGCUCCUGGAUCAAGGAGCUGCAGCUGGAGAUCUUCCACCUGGUGAUGUACCGGAACUACCAGCGGAAGAACGACAUGGACGAGCCCCCUCCCCUGGACUACGGCUCCGGGGACGACGACCCCAAGAGCGAGAAGCGGGGGGCAGGGGGGGACCCCCUUUUCGGGGGCAUGGAGGAGCGCUUCUACCGCUACGGCAUCAAACCCGAGUGGAUGACGGUGCACCGCAUCAUCAACCACAGGUGGGCACCCCAAAUGUCCUCCGGGGCGCCCCAAAUAUCCUCUGGGACACCCCAAACAUCCUCCGGGGCACCCCGGAUAUCCUCCAGGGCACCCCAAAUAUUCUCCAGGGCACCCCAAAUAUCCUCCGGGGCACCCCAAAUAUCCUCUGGGACACCCCAAACAUCCCCCGGGGCACCCCUAAUAUCCUCCAGGGCACCCCAAAUAUUC
rnacentral:lncRNA from 1 species